GGGCCGUUAGCUCAGCUGGCUAGAGCGCUUCCAUGGCAUGGAAGAGGUCGCAGGUUCAAUUCCUGUACGGUCCA
rnacentral:tRNA from 1 species